CCAAAGAGGGGGACCUUCGGGCCUCUUGCCAUCGGAUGUGCCCAGAUGGGAUUAGCUAGUAGGUGGGGUAACGGCUCACCUAGGCGACGAUCCCUAGCUGGUCUGAGAGGAUGGCCAGCCACACUGGAACUGAGACACGGUCCAGACUCCCACGGGAGGCAGCAGUGGGGAAUAUUGCACAAUGGGCGCAAGCCUGAUGCAGCCAUGCCGCGUGUAUGAAGAAGGCUUUCGGGUUGUAAAGUACUUUCAGCGGGGAGGAAGGCGAUAAGGUUAAUAACCUUGUCGAUUGACGUUACCCGCAGAAGAAGCACCGGCUAACUCCGUGCCAGCAGCCGCGGUAAUACGGAGGGUGCAAGCGUUAAUCGGAAUUACUGGGCGUAAAGCGCACGCAGGCGGUCUGUCAAGUCGGAUGUGAAAUCCCCGGGCUCAACCUGGGAACUGCAUUCGAAACUGGCAGGCUAGAGUCUUGUAGAGGGGGGUAGAAUUCCAGGUGUAGCGGUGAAAU
rnacentral:rRNA from 1 species